AAUGGACUGGUCGCUCGGUCCACAGAUUCGAUGGUGUAGUCCACAAAAACACUUCAUGAUCUUUGGUUUAGUCUACGACGGGCGGUAGAAACUUUGCACGAUUCGAUGGUUGAUAUCGAUUCUGAAGAAGAUCGAACGGUUGUUGUUCAUUGUCGGUUGAAAACUAAGUGAAAAAGAAUUUCUGUGCGCGAUCCAACGGCCGAAAUUCUAUCCAUCACUUAAUCUGAUGGUUCGUGUUCAUCCCAAUUGAGAAUAGGAAGUUUUGAGCGUGAUCCAAUAGUUGAAAACACAUCAGGAGCACGAUCCCAUGGCUAUUAUCAUUCCCAACUGAGAGGACUUAAACGUUGAUUUUUGAUGUGAUCUGGGAGGUCCAAUGAAGAUCCGACAGCCAGAAUAAAUUGAUAUGGGUAUAAUAUGAUUUCUAAAGAUUUUAGGACUCCUUUUGCUAUCAAAAAAAGAUAAAAAAUUUAUCUAUAAAUAGGAGGUCUGAGUAUAAGAGAAAGGAGAAAAAAAUUAAUAAAAAUACAAAAAAAAUUAAAAAAAAAUUAGAUAAAUUUAGAGACCCAAAGAGAAGAAGAAAAGAAGUCGGUUCGCUCUAUAGAUUACGAAGGAA
rnacentral:lncRNA from 1 species